GAGAUGUUCGCUGACCCCUGUUUGACCCACUGUCUAAUAAUGAGUAGUACUUUACUAAUUUUGUUUCUAUUCUAUUCAGUUCAUUUGCUGAAGGAUGGGGAUGUCAUGGCCCCUGGACACCGGUAUCCAUAAAGCAUCCCCUGCAGAUAGAUGGGGAGUCAUGUGGCGUUCAUGUUGUUAUGUAUGCCCAGGCCAUAUUGACAGGGGAUGCUCUUCAGCAGAGCCGUGUUUUGGAUUUUGGACCCAUUAUGCAAUUAAGACAACAGAUGUGCAAGGAUCUCUUUAAUGCAACAGACAGAACACAGACAUGCAGUAACUGCCUGAACCCAGUGAGCACUGCAAACAAGGUUUGGGGAUCAUCAAAGAAAUGGCAGAAAAAACAAAACAGACCCUCCACAAGAUGAAGGAAAAUGCCAACUCUACAUAUGAUGUUAAAGAGACCCUAUGCCACUUUCUGCAGGAGACGAUCGCUCUUUGUUUACAUCUGGAAGUCUGAGACGAAGAACCACGCUUGCAAUUUAUAUAUUUAAAUAUAGCCUAUACAUGUAUAAAUAUACACGCUAAAGCUGUCGGGGAAGCUCUGCAGAGAAAAUGCAAGCAUAAAACGAGCGAAAACGAACAUCGCCAGCCCUGCAUAGUUCCUCUUUAACUCAUCAUUUAGUUUAGAAACACACACAUUUGGGGCACAAGCCUUGAGCUUUGUCAUUGAGUUUUUAAUUGAAAAGGUAAACAACUUGCUUUAGAUUUUAUCAUUAAAAUCUAAUGAUAGCUUAGCUUCUUUUACCCUGUUCUUGGGUAACGUUUGCUUGUCAAAGAAAUAAACAUAUAUACAACAAAACUUCAAAAAUUGGUACAGUCCAAGUGUUUGAUUAGAAUAUGCUCA